GAUGAAGAACGUAGCGAAAUGCGAUAAGUAAUGUGAAUUGCAGAAUUCAGAGAAUCAUCGAAUCUUUGAACGCACAUUGCGCCCGCCAGUAUUCUGGCGGGCAUGCCUGUUCGAGCGUCAUUUCAACCAUCAAGCCCCCCGGCUUGUGUUGGGGACCUGCGGCUGCCGCAGGCCCUGAAAAGCAGUGGCGGGCUCGCUGUCACACCGAGCGUAGUAGAUCUCAUCUCGCUCAGGGCGUGCUGCGGGUUCCGGCCGUUAAACCACCUUCAUAACCCAAGGUUGACCUCGGAUCAGGUAGGAAGACCCGCUGAACUUAAGCAUAUCAAUAAGCGGAGGA
rnacentral:misc_RNA from 1 species